rnacentral:rRNA from 1 species
AUUGAACGCUGGCGGCAGGCCUAACACAUGCAAGUCGAACGGUAACAGGAGACAGCUUGCUGUUUCGCUGACGAGUGGCGGACGGGUGAGUAAUGUCUGGGAAACUGCCUGAUGGAGGGGGAUAACUACUGGAAACGGUAGCUAAUACCGCAUAACGUCGCAAGACCAAAGAGGGGGACCUUCGGGCCUCUUGCCAUCGGAUGUGCCCAGAUGGGAUUAGCUAGUAGGUGGGGUAACGGCUCACCUAGGCGACGAUCCCUAGCUGGUCUGAGAGGAUGACCAGCCACACUGGAACUGAGACACGGUCCAGACUCCUACGGGAGGCAGCAGUGGGGAAUAUUGCACAAUGGGCGCAAGCCUGAUGCAGCCAUGCCGCGUGUAUGAAGAAGGCCUUCGGGUUGUAAAGUACUUUCAGCGGGGAGGAAGGGAGUAAAGUUAAUACCUUUACUCAUUGACGUUACCCGCAGAAGAAGCACCGGCUAACUCCGUG